UGCAGUCGGUGUGCUGUGGCAUUCUGUCAUCACUUUGCCAUUGGUCACAGCCCCUUCACUGAUGGAGACCUCUCCCCCUUUCAUCUUUGUGGUUGCCAGACUUGUAAUUUGUUUUUCUGUUUAAUAGAAACCUUAGAAUCAUUGGGAUAAAGUAUGCUAUGGAAAACACAUGCUUUUAAAAAUAGCUCUUUUCGUCCUAUAGACAUGAAAAGAUCGUGUUUUCAUCUCCAGCAAUCUCGGGAUCGAACUCAGGACCUCAUGCUUGAGAGUCCCAAGCUUUACCACUGCGCCACCUCCCGGACCACAUUGAAUGAUCUCACUCAUGAGCAGAACUUAAGAAGCAAGAAUAGGGGAAGGAAACACAAACAUGCUUCCCUCAAUUCAUACCAAAUGAUAUUGCAUCUGCUGAUUCCAACCUAAUCAACGCAACGAGUACCACCUCAGCAUGCUUCACUUCAGACUGUGUCCAGAGAUGUCAGGUAUGGAAAUCAACCCUUCAGCCUCAUUACUCAGGUGAGGCCUUUCCUUUCAUAGGAUUCUCUAAUUCCAUUCCAGGUGGUUCACUUCCUAACUAAGUCCCAAAACCUAGAGAUAGACCAGGCCCCAUGAG